rnacentral:rRNA from 1 species
GACGAACGCUGGCGGCGUGCCUAAUACAUGCAAGUAGAACGCUGAAGGAGGAGCUUGCUUCUCUGGAUGAGUUGCGAACGGGUGAGUAACGCGUAGGUAACCUGCCUGGUAGCGGGGGAUAACUAUUGGAAACGAUAGCUAAUACCGCAUAAGAGUAGAUGUUGCAUGACAUUUGCUUAAAAGGUGCAAUUGCAUCACUACCAGAUGGACCUGCGUUGUAUUAGCUAGUUGGUGGGGUAACGGCUCACCAAGGCGACGAUACAUAGCCGACCUGAGAGGGUGAUCGGCCACACUGGGACUGAGACACGGCCCAGACUCCUACGGGAGGCAGCAGUAGGGAAUCUUCGGCAGUGGACGGAAGUCUGACCGAGCAACGCCGCGUGAGUGAAGAAGGUUUUCGGAUCGUAAAGCUCUGUUGUAAGAGAAGAACGAGUGUGAGAGUGGAAAGUUCACACUGUGACGGUAUCUUACCAGAAAGGGACGGCUAACUACGUG